rnacentral:rRNA from 1 species
UGAGGAACAUGACCUUCGGCGGGGGAUAGCCGGCCCAACGGCCGGGUAAUACCGCGUACGACCUUUCGGGGACAUCCCCGGAUGGUGAAAGCAGCAAUGCGCCGAUGGAGUGCCUCGCGGCCUAUCAGCUAGUUGGUGAGGUAACGGCUCACCAAGGCAACGACGGGUAGCUGGUCUGAGAGGAUGGCCAGCCACAGUUGGGACUGAGACACGGCCCAGACCUCCCGUACGGGGAG